CUAACUCUGUAUGCUCAGCUGCAACUGUAAUCAGAGGGACAAAAUCAAGAUUGGAAAACUGCAGAGCUGAAACAAAAGCUUUUUUGAAAAAGAAGAAGAAAUAGCAACCAGAAAUUAGUAACUAUCAUUCAGCUAAUUCCGUUGUUCAGCGAUGACUGUGGCCAAUUCAAUGUCAAAAGUCCCCUCAACACAGCUGCUAUGAUGUUCUUCCACAAGUGUGAAGCUAUUUUGUCCCCUGCUGUACAGAUUUGAUACGAAGAAUAUGGAGGGAACAGCUCAAAAGCUCCAGUCCAUAAACUGUAAGACUGAAGAGAGAUGAUCCUAGAUUCUUAAGGUGUGCAGGCGGAACAGGUCCACCCAGUUAGUGCAUGGACAAUUGCUGAGCUGCCUUAAGAUCAUCCAUGUUCCAAGUUCUCUUUCUGACAUGGUGAGAAUGCUUGGGAAAACAGUGGACAAGAUAUAUUUGAAGGUGCGAAAGAGGGAUUCUUGACACUAUCCCAGAUAAGUCAAAAGAUACUCACAUUGUCCAGUAUAACAUAACAUAGUAGCAUUCCUUAGUGGCACAUACUCAUGGUUACUGAUUCUGGCCAUUAGAAGUAUCUGUGCAUAGUAAGCCUAUAAGUCCACUCUAUCACAUAAGCUGUUCAUAAUGGUCAGAAAAAAUGCCAGUUUUCCUUCUACAUAUUUGCUGUUUUAGAGCUGCUCUUUGAUGAAAUAAGCUUCACUGAUACCAAUACAUCUCUGCACAUUGCAAACACUGUAUUUUGUUUGUAUAAAUACCUGGCAGGCUUUUUUGGGUUCACAGGCUUUCAGUUAAAGCUGGCACCAAAAGCAGAGUUUCUCAAGGAUACAGAGCAGAGACAUCAUCGAGUGGAAAUAUAAACUGCAGAUUGUUUAAAGAUGAGGUUGUGUUUUCUUAAGCAGUGGGCCACACCACUGGACCCCAGCUCUGGUGAAAGUUGUGAAUUUUAGCUGCUUGAGCAUGUAUAGCUUUGGAGGGGGGAAAUGUAUAUUGGAAUUAUUUUGAAGCUGCUUUUAAAAAAUGUGGUACAUGAGGACUUCAUCAGCUUGGCAUAUCCAAGGAAAAAACCCGGUUAAAAGGAUUAUGGAGCAAAAGCCAAUUCUGACUUGGUAUGCUUGGCUUGUCGAGGGUGCUCUGUCAAUAGUAAAAUAGUUCUAGUUUGUUGUAAGUAUUGCUAAUUUUCUUAUAGGAUAUCAUCGGAUGUUUCAGUCAUAUUGUUUUAUCAUGCAUUCACUUUGGUCAGCUGCCUUGGACAUUCUGAUGAGGGGGGAAAGCAUGAUAAAAACUAUAAAAAUGAAUGAAUGAAAUAAAUGUCUGUCAGAAUGCACUUUCCUGCUGUAUAUUCUUCUGUCAGCAGCAGGUGUUUGCCAGAUCCUCACUAUUAAAAGUGGCAUCUAAUUUUACAUAAAA